UAUUUUGGAAGAGAUGCAUUUAUUAGAUAAAAAACCAAUGCAUACUUUUUCAAGUAUGAAAUUUGAUGAUUUACAAUAACUUAGCAAAUCGCAUAGUGAAAACAGGCGAUAAAUCAUUCAAGUUUCUGACCUAUCAGCUUUCGACGGUAUGGUAUUGGCUUACCGUGGCAGUGACGGUUAACGGGGGAUUAGGGUUCGAUUCCGGAGAGGGAGCCUGAGAAACGGCUACCACAUCUAAGGAAGGCAGCAGGCGCGCAAAUUACCCAAUUCUAACAGCAUAAGAGAGGUAGUGACAAGAAAUAACAAUACAAGGCAGUUAAAAUGCUUUGUAAUUGGAAUGAUAGAAAUUUAAACACUUUUUAAAGUAUCAAUUGGAGGGCAAGUCUGGUGCCAGCAGCCGCGGUAAUUCCAGCUCCAAUAGCGUAUAUUAAAAUUGUUGCAGUUAAAAAGCUCGUAGUUGAAUUUCUGUUAAAAAUAACCGGUCUGCUUUUAAUAAAAGUGGUAUCUUGGUGUGUUUUUAGCAAUAAUGUCCUUUGAAAUGUUUUUUACUUUAUUGUAAUAAAUAAUAUUCAGGAUUUUUACUUUGAGAAAAUUAGAGUGUUUCUAGCAGGCUAACGCUUUGAAUACUGCAGCAUGGAAUAAUAAAAUAGGAUUUUAGUUCUACAUUAUUGGUUUUAAGAACUAAAUUAAUGAUUGAUAGGGACAGUUGGGGGCAUUUGUAUUUAACUGUCAGAGGUGAAAUUCUUAGAUUUGUUAAAGACAAACUACUGCGAAAGCAUUUGCCAAAGAUGUUUUCAUUAAUCAAGAAC
rnacentral:rRNA from 1 species